GACGAACGCUGGCGGCGUGCCUAAUACAUGCAAGUCGAACGCAGUGGGGACGGGUGAGUAACACGUGGGUAACCUCGCAUCAGAGGGGAUAAAACUUGGAAACAGGUGCUAAACUGAUACUGAUGGAUGGACCCGCGGUGCAUUAGCUAGUUGGUGAGGUAACGGCGCACCAAGGCCACGAUGAAUAGCCGACCUGAGAGGGUGAUCGGCCACACUGGGACUUGGAAACGGCCCAGACUCCUACGGGAGGCAGCAGUAGGGAAUCUUCGGCAAUGGACGAAAGGCUGACAGAGCAACGCCGCGUGAGUGAAGAAGGUUUUCGGAUCGUAAAACUCUGUUGUUAGAGAAGCGGUAUCUAACCAGAAAGCCACGGCUAACUACGUGCCAGCCGCCGCGGUAAUAC
rnacentral:rRNA from 1 species